ACUGUGAACAUAAAAAAAUAAUUUUCGAUAAAAUUAAAAACAAAUACGAAAAGUUGCUAAUUGUAAACACUAGAUGGCAGCACGAUUAGAAUUUUAGUUCGCCAUCAAAAAGUAAACAAUGUUUACUUUUUGAAAGGUCAGUGACUUUGGAUCAUCAUGAUUAAAGUUAAUUGUAAUUGAGUUUUAAAUUCUAAUCGCAAUUGAUAUGAUAAUCUAAGUCAAGGAAAAUCCAUGAAAGAAAAUUAUUGCAAGAAUAAAAUGAAGAAUAAGAGAGAGAAAGACAAAAAUUGUUCUCUUCUUUUUCCUUCCAAUAACAAUGGUAAAACCUUGUUCUUCAUAUGAAAGGAAAACCAAAGAAGAGAAAGUAUUAAAAAAAAAGAGCCAAAUGGAAAAGGCGGAUCGUUAAUAGACCGACAGUGUUGGAAAAAAGCAUUGAGUUUAUCAUGUGAAUUGUAUCCAAAGUGUAAUCAAGUCUAAAUGGCUUAAGGAAAAGGGCUCAAUGGAUCAACCUGAUCCCCAACAAGAACCACCUCCACCUACAACAUCAAUGUCAACAACAUUAUCAUCUAUUGAGAGUUUAUUUGUUAAACUUUCCAAUCUGCUUGAUUGUUUUAAUUAUCGUAAUUACUAUUUUUUUUUCGAGUAAUUGAAAUAACAACUUGGGAACAUGAUAAUUAAGAUAAUGAUGGAUGACCUGUUAUCCAGCAACUUUCAACAGAAUCAAAUUAAUUUAUUAUCAAUGAAUUAACCAAUAGCAUCUUAUAUCUACUCAUUUAAUCAACAUAAAAUCGGAUAGUAACAUUUUCGUGAUCAAUGGGAAAAUAAUCUAAUUGUCAAUGAAACAGUUCACUUUGUAUUAUUUAUGAUUGUCACUGAUUGAGUAGCACCUUUAGUUACAUUGUACUCACAAUUUGGUUUUGAUUGUGUGGCCAUUGAUUAAAUCGGAUUCCUAUUAAUAGAUAUAUUGUAUUACUACUUGGAUUUGAUUGUUAAAAUGGUUCACAUCAAUUGAUGAAACAAAUUAAGGUUACCUGGUGUAACUGAAUUGGAUGCGAAAAUGUUAUCAUUUCUGGAAGACACGCAAACAAAUGGUAUUCAAUUGAAUAUCAAAUUUAAUCAACAUUAUCAUGAUAAUCAUUUUUCAUCCAUCAUCUUGAUCGUCACUAUUAUUAUCAUCAACGUUAACCAGAAUGUAAGAAGAGAUGAAAAAAAGUUCACCUUAUCGUUGAUUUAAAUAUGAAAAACAGUUACCAUGCCUCAAAGUAAAUUGAUUGAGACUUUCUCAUCUCUUAAUCUUCAUUAUCAUCAUGGUAAUCAACAAAAUCAUCACUGUCAUAAUCAUCACGCUGAUUUACAACUUAAAUGUUUAAGGUGAUGAAUAAAUCAAGAAAAAAUUGA